GGGGCGAACGGAAAAUGUGUGAAGGAUUUACUUUGUUUGUCGAGUUUCUCCCGGUGAAGUGGUUUGUAGCGAAGCAGAUCAUGUCAGCAGCCAGAAGACAUGGAGGUCAUCCGUUCUGAAGCCGAAGCCGCUCAUGACGACACUGUGCAGGACGCAGAGGAGGCUAAGAUCUGCACUGCCAUGCUAUGGAGCAUCCAGGAGGCCGUUCAGAGACAGACGCUGCAGAUCGGGGUGUCAGCGUGCGGAGCCACAGCGGUAGUGGACGUCCUGCAGGCACUGGGCAUCACAGUGACUCCAGAGAUGGUGAACCACAGCGUGAGGACGAGACUGAGGAGGAACGAGGCGCCGCUGCCUGAUUACCUGCAUUCUCGCAGCAUGGCUGGAGCCACACACCUGCAGCUGAUCUCCGGGGCUGAUCAGGCCAGUGGUGGCCGCGUCAUGGGACGCUUCUUUGGCCUGUAUCCGCGGCGGAGGGUGAAACUGGUGCCAUGGUUGGGACGCUGGAUUCUGCGCGGAGCUGUUCCUGUAGCCACCAUGAACAUGCAGCGGGCCGUUCCUGAAGGAGAAGAGAUUCCAGACGCCUGGCAUCACCAGCUCAUCUUCGGAGUCGGACCCAGUGCUGUAUUCAUGACCAACCCGUUGGACGUGGCGCCUGGCACUAGUUGGAACUGGCAAAGUCGGAGUGCACAUCUGAAAGUCUUCCAUUUGAUGUGGUCGUAA
ensembl:lncRNA